rfam:Callithrix jacchus chromosome 1, whole genome shotgun sequence
CUGCUGACUAAGUAGAGGUCUCUUUUAUUAUGGUCUUCAUUCUAUCAUUAUUAAACC